GACGAACGCUGGCGGCGUGCUUAACACAUGCAAGUCGAGCGGUAAGGCUCCUUCGGGAGUACACGAGCGGCGAACGGGUGAGUAACACGUGAGUAAUCUGCCCUUCACUUCGGGAUAACCGCCGGAAACGGUGGCUAAUACCGGAUACGACGCACUCUCGCAUGGGAUGUGCGUGGAAAGUCUUCUCGGUGAAGGAUGUGCUCGCGGCCUAUCAGCUUGUUGGUGAGGUAACGGCUCACCAAGGCUUCGACGGGUAGCCGGCCUGAGAGGGUGACCGGCCACACUGGGACUGAGACACGGCCCAGACUCCUACGGGAGGCAGCAGUGGGGAAUAUUGCACAAUGGGCGCAAGCCUGAUGCAGCGACGCCGCGUGAGGGAUGACGGCCUUCGGGUUGUAAACCUCUUUCAACAGGGACGAAGCGCAAGUGACGGUACCUAUAGAAGAAGCACCGGCCAACUACGUGCCAGCAGCCGCCGUAACAC
rnacentral:rRNA from 1 species